UUACGGCCAUAUUACGUUGAAUCAGCGGUUCCCGUACGAUCACUGCAGUUAUGCGUCGCCUCGCCUGGAGAGUAUCUAGGUAGGUGAACACCUGGGAAUAUCAGGU